rnacentral:rRNA from 1 species
CACGUAGGGCGCAAGCGUUGUCCGGAAUUAUUGGGCGUAAAGAGCUCGUAGGCGGUCUGUUGCGUCCGCUGUGAAAACUCGGGGCUUAACCCCGAGCCUGCAGUGGAUACGGGCAGACUAGAGGUAGGUAGGGGAGAAUGGAAUUCCCGGUGUAGCGGUGAAAUGCGUAGAUAUCUGGAGGAACACCGGUGGCGAAGGCGGCAUCCUGGACCAAUAUUGACGCUGAGGAGCGAAAGCCAGGGGAGCAAACGGG